rnacentral:rRNA from 1 species
CCCUUAGAUGUCCUGGGCCGCACGCGCGCUACACUGAUGCAUUCAACGAGUUUUACCUUGGCCGAGAGGCCUGGGCAAUCUUUUAAACCUGCAUCGUGAUAGGGAUAGAUUAUUGCAAUUAUUAAUCUUGAACGAGGAAUUCCUAGUAAACGCAAAUCAUCAAUUUGCAUUGAUUACGUCCCUGCCCUUUGUACACACCGCCCGUCACACCUACCGAUUGAAUGGUCCGGUGAAGCCUCGGGAUUGUGGCCAGUUCACUUUAUUGGGAGUUGGCUGCGAGAACUUGUCUAAACCUUAUCAUUUAGAGGAAGGUGAAGUCGUAACA